GAUGAACGCUGGCGGCGUGCCUAACACAUGCAAGUCGAGCGAACAGACGAUGAGCUUUCUCCUCUGACGUUAGCGGCGGACGGGCGAGUAACACGUGGAUCACCUACCUAUUUUACUUGGGUGACUACGGGAAACCGGUGCCGAUACCAGAUCAUAUAUUCAACGGCUGGGUUCAAUAGUUAAUGGCGGUUUUGCUGUCACUUAUAGCUGGAUCCGAACUGCAUUAGCUUGUUGGUAAGGUAACAGCUUACCAAGGCUACGAUGCGUAGCCGACCUGAGAGGGUGAUCCGCCAAAACGGGACCGAGACACGGUCCAGACUCCUACGGGAGGCAGCAGUAGGGAAUCAUCCGACAAGGGCGGAAGCCCGACGGAGCAAAGCCGGCGUAGUGAAGAAGGUCUUCGGAUCGUAAAACUCUGUUAGUAGGGAAAAACAAAUGUGUAAGUAACUACGCACGGCUCGACGGUACCUAAACAGAAAGCCACGGCUAACUACGUG
rnacentral:rRNA from 1 species